rnacentral:rRNA from 1 species
UCCGGUGACCAUACUGGCGGGGUCCCACCCGUUCCCAUUCCGAACACGGCCGUUAAGCCCGCCAGGCCCAUGAUAGUGCCUCUGGCGCGAAAGUCGGUUAUCGCCGGAA